rnacentral:rRNA from 1 species
AACAAACGCUGGCGGCGUGCCUAAUACAUGCAGUCGAACGGGGAAAGCUUUCGGGUGAGUACUAGUGGCGCACGGGUGAGGAACGCGUGGAUAAUCUGCCUUAGAGUGGGGGAUAACUAGUCGAAAGAUUAGCUAAUACCGCAUAAGACCACGAGAGCUGCGGCUUUUGAGGUCAAAGGUUUUUCGCUCUAAGAUGAGUCCGCGUAAGAUUAGCUAGUUGGUGAGGUAACGGCUCACCAAGGCGACGAUCUUUAACUGGUCUGAGAGGAUGAUCAGUCACACUGGAACUGAGACACGGUCCAGACUCCUACGGGAGGCAGCAGUAGGGAAUAUUGCACAAUGGAGGAAACUCUGAUGCAGCGACGCCGCGUGAGUGAUGAAGGCCUUCGGGUCGUAAAGCUCUGUCGCAGGGGAAUAACACAAUGAAGGUACCCUGUAAGAAAGGAUCGGCUAACUUCGUG